rnacentral:misc_RNA from 1 species
GAUGAAGAACGUAGCGAAAUGCGAUAACUAAUGUGAAUUGCAGAAUUCAGUGAAUCAUCGAGUCUUUGAACGCACAUUGCGCCCCCUGGUAUUCCGGGGGGCAUGCCUGUCCGAGCGUCAUUGCUGCCCUCAAGCACGGCUUGUGUGUUGGGCUCCGCCCCCCCGGGGACGGGCCCGAAAGGCAGCGGCGGCACCGAGUCCGGUCCUCGAGCGUAUGGGGCUUUGUCACCCGCUCUGUAGGCCCGGCCGGCGCCAGCCGACAACCCAUCAUCCUUUUCAGGUUGACCUCGGAUCAGGUAGGGAUACCCGCUGAACUUAAGCAUAUCAAUAAGCGGAGGA